GCUAUAUAAAUAUAAUACGUUUAAUUUUCGUCGAAUUUCGUCGAGUUGUAAAGCGAUUUAUUAAAGCCGAUGCUCGUUGUACUCCGAGGAGGGGAGGGGAUAUCGCUCGGUAUCUCUCGAGGUGUAGAAUAUAGCCAAGUUUUUUCAAAGAUAAUCACCGAUUGUUUUAUUUCGUCGUGAAAAUUCUUUAUCUUAUUCUUUAUCUUUGUAUUAAUUAUUUGUUCUUUCUUUAAUCGCUCGCAACAAUGAGAAAUCAUUUUUCAAACUUGACGAAAUUUUGGCGGUAAAUUCGAAACAGGAUGGGGCCACGCCGGUUGCGUUUCGCAGGCGUAAGUGGGAGUGACUGAAACCGCCUACACCUCGGUGAUGGUACCGGGAUCCCAUCAUACGCAGGUCUAAUCCCUUGGGAAGGUGCAACAGGAGACCAAUAAACGUUCACGCGCUGCCUCCUCGUCCCUUCGAAUCGCUCCGAAAUUGGUCUCCAAAGUUUCAGAAAGGUAGAAAAUUAGGUAGAAAGAUACGUAUUUUCAUAAUUGUAUUUAUUUUAUCUCUUCUGUUCGACACACUCGAUUGAUAUUAAAAUAUUAUAUAUUUGCAUCGAGAACUGCGUAUAUUACACGCUAAGAAAUCUCUCGCUGCUAAUAAUCGAGUCGAAUUAUUAUUCUUCAUUUUCCUUAUCGUCUUAUUCGCGUGAUCGUCUCCAUUUUUUCUCGCAAGUAAAGAAAGUGUAGUUAUUGAAUAAAACAAAACUGUAAUGUUAAAGAACAAAAGAAAACGACGUUGGACAUCGAGAUUAGAUACUCGAUAUCUCGAAAUUCGAAGGAAGAGCGCGGACAAUGAGGGUCCCAUCCCCUUCGAAGGGGUGAAAAGUUUCAAUAAGGUUAAGGGUGGUUAUUCUGGAGAAAGGCGAGGAUUAAUCUCGCGCAACAGAAACGAAUGCAAGAUUGCAUACAUCUCAAAUGAUUGGAUUAAACGUUUUAUUAUGUAAAGUGUAUCAUAUACAUUUAAUCCUUAAACUACUCGUUUCUUUUGUUUAUUCUACAUUUAGAUUUAAUCGUGCAAAGUAAAUGGCGAUUUGUUUUCCCCUUUUUUUAUUCGUGUAUUUUCGCACGCCAUUUGCAUUUUGCCCGUAAUUCGCUCCUCUUUAUCUCUCGCGAACGUGUACAUUUCGGUGAUAAGAAACUUUUACACAUGACACUCGAGCACCCGAGGCAUCGUCACCUUUAAAAAUAUACACGCAUUUUAAGGAAUUUCUUCCCGAUAUCUAUCACGGGAAGCCGGUUAAAUGCGAAUUGUUCGGGCCAGACGUUAAUACCAACAUAUUUCGCGCCGCGUGUGUGUGCGCUGCUCGAUAGAAAUCGUUAUUUCAUCGAGUCGAUAAACGCGCGUGAAUUUUUCUUGGAACGCGCGAAAAAGAUGCAAGGGGAAUAAUAAGAAGAAAUUCAAUUUUUCUGAUGGAAUGUUUUUCUUUUUUUCUUUUUUCAGAAAAAUCGAGAACAAAAGUUUUCAAAGUUUCCCGAAUUGUUGGAAGAAAGAUUUAAAGUGCGAAGUGAAAUCGAAAUUUCUCGGAAAUUUUUAGUGAUGAUGCCGAUGACAGACGGAAUUAUUCUUGGACGUUUCCGUGUUUUUACGUUGUUGUUGCGAUCGAAAUUCAUCGUUGGAAAAUGGUGGAAUGACGUUUGCGAACUCGUUGUAAAGACUACUCUUCCUGUAAACAACUCGAAGAAGGGAAAUAAGGGUGGUUGUGUUUUAUGAAAAAAGUUUCUCUUAUUUUAUCGAUAUCUGAUAAGCUUAUGAUAAAUAUUUAUACCCGCGUGUUUACAACAAAUUUUUCUUUUCCUCUUUGAGAAAUUUUAAAUAAUUCCAAGAAAUUUAUUUUCUUCCUUUUUUUUACAUUGUUUCGCGUAUCCACCUUAUUGAAAAGAGGCACGUGCGCCACUUAAUCACCACUUUUUGUACAAAGAGGUGCAUUAUCGUAGUGGAAAAGAACUUGGAAAUUUCUUUACACAGCAAUCGACUCUUUUAUCGAAGUUAUCUAUUUUUAUUCCCACCGUGAACCGAUGUUAAUAGUCAACGAUAAUUCCCCUUUGUCUCUCCACUCUCGAAAAGUUUAACGAUAAUUACCACCUUUCGCAAUAAUGGAACUUUCUAAAAAAAAAACCACAAUAUAAAAAUCCAUCUUAAUCCGAAGAAAAAUUUCAAAAAAUUCCUGAAAAAUAAUACCAAUCGUCGAAUAAUGGAAAAUGUUGGAAAACCACCUUCUUCGCCGCGACGACACGUGUCCAACGCCUCUCUCCCCUCCCUCCCCGCCUUACCAACAUUCCCAAGCGCACGUUCGCGUUUAAUUAACGCUAAUUACGCGAAUCCAAACCCGAUCUGCUUCGAGCAUAAUCCCUGAGAGGAGUGGUGGUACACGCGCCGAUUUCCGUUUCACGAUAAUUGUCAUCGAUAUCAUCCCCCCUCCUCGAGCCGACGUGGACCGUUUGAAGUGACCACAGAGAGGAGGGGGAGGGGGGCGUGCUCUCAUUAGCGAUGAUUUUUCGGAGGAGGGGGGGGCGAAUUAAUCGAGCGAUUUCGCGCGUUGCGUUUUUCGGAUCGGCGUCGACUCGUGCAGUUGCAGAGCCAAUUAUAUCGCGCAUUAUGCCGUGGGACGGGCGCAGGGAGCACUUUGAAAUCGAACCUUAACCUUUGUUAGUUGGGCAAUCGGCUUAUAGGAUACACGGUCAAUUUUUGAAAUUCCCUGUUAAUCCGGAAAUGUGACGAACGGAAGCGGGUUAGUUAGAGAUAUUGGAUUAUUGGUGAUCGAUGGUGUCGGUGGUGAAUCUUUUUUAUUUUUUUUUUGAGAUCGUUGAAGCGGGUGUAAGAAGCAACACGUCCUCGAUGAUAAAAAUUUCGAAGAAUAUCGGUCGAUCCGCUAUGUACAAGUUCAUUUGAUUUAUCGAUUCCUUAAUCGAUCUAUUCACGUAUAAAUAUAUAUUCAAUCUGAAUCUAGCAUUCGUAAUUGGCUAUCUUGAUCCAUCAAAUUCGUUUAUCGAUAGAAUAUACUAAUUUUUUACUUAGUGUAAUCGUGAAUUUUUAUCGCUUUACUUUACACAAUGAAUAAAAAUUCUCUUGGAUUCAAAAAGAAGAUUCGGAAAGAAGUAAUAGCGUCUCGAGGUAUCGAUUAUUUUCCAGGAUACGCUCGAGUGACCAGAAGAGAAUCCCGUUGAUUGGUAAGAUAACACUGGUCAAUCUUCCGUGCAACGCAAUACCGGCCGACCCUCCCCAACCUGUUGAACCCGUGAAAUCGUAUUCUUUCGUCCCUUAAUCAUGCCCUUUCCCUGCUCAAUUAAUAUUUCGCGAAAUCUCGCGUUUUGGUGAAAAUUUUCUGUCGCGUUUCGUCGAUCGAGAAAGGAAAAUUGUUCGUCAAUAAUGUAUAAUUUUAGGGAGGAAAGACGAUAAAUACCCUCAAAUCUACCUCGACCAGUCCCGCUUGACCCUUCAUUUGGCUGCAUGGCCCGAUUAUCUGCAAUUUAAAACGAUUCGAUUAUAGCAUUCUCUCUUUAAAUAUUUGAUACAGUGCGACUCGUAGGAGGAAAUAACGAACGACUCGAAUUUUUGCCCGAUUUGCAGAAAAUUGGACGAUACGUGGCUCGAAUUACGCGUUUUUCGAAAUUACACGGAUAUAUAUGUAUACACGUUAUAAAAGUACAGGGAUAUCGUUUAAUGAAGUAAAAUCGAAGAAUUUUUUUUCCUUGUAUCUUUCCUCCCCUGUCGAAAGAAAUUUUCAAGAAAGAUCGAAAAGAAGAGGGGUAUUAAAAAUGGAGUAUCAUUGAUUAUUCGUGAGAAAUUCAACCAAUUUCCUAGUUUUAAUUGAGUUUGAUGAAAGAAAAUAUUGCGAGAAACGAAGUUGCAGAGGAAAGAUUGGUCGAUAACGUUGACGGCGUGACAAAUUAGCGGAUCUCGUUUCUUUUCGUAUCAUUGUUACGUUUUUAUAAUUGGCUCGAUACAACUUGUUAAUUAAGCACCGAAUUGUCCAGUCAGACGUGAACGAAACAAGAAUACGCAAGGCGUUAAAUUAAGAAGCCUGGUCGUAUUCCAUUUUCACUUUUCGAUUCUCGAUAAAUAAAAGGGGGGAAAGGUGGAAAUAAAUGAGCAAAAAUUCCUUUGACAAAUUUAUACGUGGAAAGAAAUAUGGUAAAUUUUAAUAUUAAUGAACGAGACGUUCAUUAUUAUUACAAUUAUUCAUUCGGAUCGAUAAAUCGCAACAGGUUGCACAAUCGCUUAUCAAAAUUAUCAGAAAAUUUCGAGUCGAUUCGUUGGCGCGUGAAAAGUGACUAUCUUUCGUCCGAUCUGAAAUCUCGAUAACGCGGAGAGAAAUGCGGAGAUAAAAAUUAUAUACACAGUUUUAUAGCUUCUCAUUACAAUCGUGGGGAACAAGUCGAUGGGAACGCCCACGUGCUUUAACUUUAUCCACCGUAAUACAAUCGCACGGAAAUUUGUCGGUAAACCGAGUUAAUAAGACAUUAUAAGAUAAGAUUUUACCUUGCUAAUUAAAUGGAUCGAAUGCAUCUCUUAAAAUUUUUCGUAUCGUACGAAUAUCGAUCGUUGAAACGCAUCACGCUUUCAAGAUACAAACGGUUUUGUGCAUAUUCGUGGACGAAUGUCGAGGCGACACUAGCGCCACGGCACUGCUCGGUACUAGCGCCCCGACACUCUUACGUAUUCUUACGUACACGUAAGAAUCCACGUUUCUUUUCGAUCUUCGUAUUUUUCUACGGCGAAGAGGGAAGGGAAAUCGAGAAAUUUAGAUUGAAAAAAUCCGCUCGAAAAUUUCGUUUGGCAAAGAGGGAUAACGAAAUAAUUCCAUCGCAUUUAUCUCGUUACUUUCGAUGCUCUACGCACCGUGUACACCGUUCAUUGUCGGGGGAAAGAAAGGAGCCGUUUUUAUGACUCGCCGAUCCGACGAUAGGGGAUGUCGGCGACAAGACAUAAUCUGUCAGGCGCAGGCUUGAUGACGUUUAUAUAAUCACGUGGUUAAAUUGUUGUACUGUUGUCGGUACAAGCUUACGUAACUGGAAUUCAACCGGAGUUCUCGGUGAGAAGCACGAAAAUGUGUGGCAGGCGAGCGUGCAGUAUACGCGUUGUAUAUAAUACCGCGCAAACCGUAUUUAUACGUUUUUCGUAUUCCGAACGUGAAUGGUAAUUAGCAUUUUCCUUCUUCCUUUUUUUCGUUUGUUCGCAAACUUUCUAUUGUGUUUUCGAUGCAAAUUGGUUAUAAUUCUUAUCCGUAAGUAAUUAUUGCGCGAGUAUUUUUUUUUCGCCAAUUUUGGUAUCGUUAAAUCGCAAUAAGGUGGAUCAAAUUCGAUGGAACGAUAUUUUCAUAAUUAUCGAGAAAAAAAAAAAAGAAAAUUUGAUGCCAGGAACGGAUGAAAAUAACGAAUAAAGCCGCGUGAAGAUACAUUUGUAUAACGAUUGAUUGUAUAAAAUUGAAUGGGGGUCAAAGCUAAAUAUUCAAUUUAUCGUAUUUACGAUGGCAUCGAUACAAGGAUGGAAGAGUGUCAGGUGGGAAUGAAGGGUCGUUAGAAUCUUUUCAUUUAAUACGUCGCCUCGUCCGUUUCUGAACAUCUGUAUCCUCCAACCUAUUGUCAUAUUCGCGACCCAUCACCAGCUUUAUAUACACCCAGCUUUACAUUGUCCACGCAUCGAAACGGAUAAGUGUACGCGAAAGACAAGUGUAAAAUACGAAUUUGUAAUUCCACUUCGCAAUUUCAUCGACGAUAAAUAACGUCGUUGUCGAGGAUCGAUUAUCCUAACCUGUACUUUUCUCGAAGAAAUUAGUUGAAAUUUUGCCCCGUAGAGGGCCUCCUCCACGGCUCUUGGAAAUAUCUUCUUCUUGAUAAUUUCAGAGUAAUUUGUAAACGAUACUUUUAACGAUAUCGAUUAUGAAAAAAAAAAAAAAAAGGAAUUCGAUGAAUUACAACGCAGAAUGCGAAAAAUAAAUUCCAUCGCGUAAUGCAUAUAUAUAUGAACGCAAAAACUUAAUAAAGCGUUUCGUAUGUUGUGCACACAUCUGAAUACAACGUAAUCGGGGUGGGGGGAGGAGCGAUCAACUCGUUACGCGCGCGAGUCGUGCCUGUAUGUAUUUCUAUGAUAUAAUACGUUCAAUUUGACUAUUAUAAAAUCAUCUGUGACUUGUGUACGCGAGACUCGCUCCAUCCAGCUUAUGGUUAACGCGAUUACGCAAUAAAUUCUCCCUCCGCGCGCGAGAAUUCCAAUGCUUUUCCAUUUUCCAGAGAGAAUAGGAAGAGAGAGGAGAGUGGCGAGGAUCUUGAACGCGUAUGGACAAAUAAAUUUGGAGGAAAUGUUGCGGCUCGAUGAAAAGAUUCGAGAGAGGAAGAAUUUUCGAAGGAAGGGAAAUAAUGGAAAAUUUUUAUGGAGGAUAAAAUGGAAGAUGACUUCAACAACUUUUUUCCUUUUUUUUUUAUCGAUAGUGCGCUAUAUCUCUUUUCGGUUUUAAUAAUCGUAAUUAUCCAUAAUGAAAUUGCUACGAAUUAUCUCUAAAAAUUACUCGUUUCGUGAGUAAUUACCAUAAACUUGGAUUCGACUCGUAUAAUUACGUAAACUGUAUCAAUUAUCGAGUGAAUCAGCCUCGGCUAGAGACGAUAUAUUUAUUCGAUAUGACGAUCUACAGUUUGUCAAAAACGAGACGAGGGAUGAGAAGGCAGGAAAAAUUUUCCUCAAAUCUACCAAUGCUGUCAGAUAAAAUGGAAGCAAGAAUUCGAUGGAAAUAAUUCUCUAUGCGAAAUUUACUGCUAAAGGAGUCGCGAAAUCCGAAUCGUUACCUUUUUCUAAAUACCUAACCCAAGUUAACCAUCGAUAUCGUUAUUAUAAUCGAGACUAAAGAAUAUACGAGGUAUAAAUAAAUGAAAGAGUGAAAAAAUUUCGAAUAAAAUUUCAUCGAUUCUCGACUAUCUUUCCCUCUUCUUCCGCCGACGAACCAAAUGUUUUUAGGUUAUGUUCUUCGGGAUCCUCCUCCCUCGAACGUUCGUGGAAAGUGGAAAGCGCGAGAAGAAGUGGAGAAUCGUAUUUACGAGGAGGGCAAUGUCAAGGCGACCAACUUAUUUCCUUAUCAAUGCGGGAUUACGUAACGAACUGGAAGCACGGUGCACCGAUAGCGCGAGCGUGUGUCCCCUAUGUGCUUGACCUGUGACGUAAAAGUUGUGCAGGAACUGGCGCGUUGCAAGGCCGUUUUAAAUAUUUGCCAAGCUUCCUCCGCGGCACGCUUCGAGUUGUCCCGGGUUCAUCUUGUUCAUCGAUGUGGAAUCUAUCCUCUUUUCUCGAUCGUUCGUUAUUAGAAGAGAAAUGAAAUUUUUGGAGAUUAUUUAUCGAUGGAAAUAUUCGAGGAAGUAUAUUUAAAUUUCACGUCAUCGAAAUGACCUCUUUAUUUUUCUUUAUUAUAUUCUUAUUCGUUCGUUUUUUAUUAGUAUCGCGCGGAAUAUCUGUUGGAUCGAAUGAAAAGACGUUUGAUAUUCAAAAAUUCACGGCUUAUAUAUUGGAUUAUCGGUUACUCGUUUAUGUUUGACAGUUAUUUAUUCAGUGUCUGACACGUAAACACUUUAUCUACUUAAAAACCGGUUGACACUUCGAUAUCUAGCAUUCAAGGUAAAACAAAUUGUUGUGUACUGCUUUGAAACGUAAUCACAACUAUUAAAAUCAAUUUUCGAAAUAUCCGUGCGUUCUGAUAUCUCUCUUUUUUUUUUUCUUCGACGUUCUACUCGAUAUUUUUAGCUAGGAAAAGAAUAUAUUUUUAAACGAAGAAGAUUUUCCAAAAAAGUAUUCAAAGCCACGCACCUUCCUCGAUUUAAAACUUUAAUCUAAUCACAAAGAUGCCAAAAUUCUAGACCGAUACCGAAACCCAUCGAAAAUUGCCUGAAACUCUAAGAGAAACAUAAUUAAUCUAAUCGUCUGGAAAAUGUAAUACACAUACGAGAGGAUCCAUGAGAGAUUGCCCAUUCAAUCAGACCAGAAAAAUCCGUUUCAGCAUCUCGAACGUGCAAGCAUAGACGUGAAAAUAAUAAAGAUCGAAGGGGAGAAGAGAGCGCGGGGGGGGCGGCGAGCCAUAUAUCGGAGAAAGUGAAGCCGGCAGUGAAUGCAGCACGCGUGGAGACGUGACCGAAUCGUAGCGUGGUUUCAAGAAUUCCAACUUGAUAUUCCACGCCGCUGGAUGCGAAUAAUUAUCAAACGUAAAACGACGUUAACGAAACUGGACCCACUUGGAUUCCCUUACGAAUAGAGAAAUGUUAUUUGCAUUUGAAACGCUUCGACCUUUUCGAAUCUGCUGCGCCGUGCGAGAGAUCUCUGCUUCUCUGGUCGACACUAGCGCCAUGCCUUGACUGGGUCACAGUUGACUGGAGACGAAACGAAUUUCUCGUUCAACGUUUCUACGUGACGCGAUAGACUCGUUGGAUUUGAUCCUUUUUGGAAGAGAGUACUAGAUUCGGAUUUUUUCUCGUGAUUGGAACAAAGAUUUCGUUUAUUCUUAAGGCAAAGUAGAUUUUGAUAAAUGUUUUUUUGUUUAUUGUGUCUCGUCUCGUGUCGAAAAUUUUAGGUUAAUUGUAAUCGAAUCGAGUUGACUUAUAGAUUCUCUGUAUCUGUAUCUCAAUUAUGGAUACUAAAUAUUGGAAACGCGAGUGAAAAAGUGUCGCGGGUUGGUCGAGAGAAAGUUGUAAUAAUAAUUCGUGGGAUAAAGAUCGUUCGUAAGUUUGCAUUAGAGCGAGCGAGGCAGAGAUGCAGCGAAAUAUAUGUGGCGUGACGGAACGAUUCAACUCGUUUUAUCUCGCUUCUAAUUUCGAGGCUGAAAUGGAAGGUUUUAUUUAGGAAUUAAUCGGGGAAAUAAUUUCCUUAUUCGGCUUAAUUGGAAAUAGUAAAAUUCGUAAAGCUGUUCUAUUUUCUCUUGUUAUAAUUUUAUGUACAAAUAAAUGGAUAAACUUUUCACGAUAAAUGAAAUUACUAAUUUGAACUAUCAUUUUUUUUAUUCCGCUAAAAUAUACGUCAACGACAAAUAAGCGUGCGACGACAUAAUUGCACGAGAUAUGUAUCUAACGAAACUAAAAAUAAUAUACAAAUGAAAAGUAUCGAGGAAUAAAUUUCGUUUGACUUGCAAAAUUCAAUCUCGUAAAAUGAGAUAACGUUAAGUAACAGAGAUUGUGUAAUAAUGAUAAAGACACGAAUAGCACGUAAUUACGAUGCCAAUGUUUCUUCCUAUUUCAUCGAUGCACGUUUUAACAUAAUCGUAAAAUUAAUAUUAAUAAAAAAAGAAAAAAAAAGUCGAAAAAAAAAGAUACACGUGCAACAAUGCAAUAAUGUUUAAAAUCAUGACUUUCCAUUUCGCGUUGUACAACAAUUCUACGUGAGGAUAUGCAGACGUUCGCUUUAUCAUCCGUUCGUUCCUUCGCACGUUCCAAGAUAAGAAUCGUCGAGAGAUUAAGAAUAUUAAGAAAGAAUGUGCAAUAAUAAUCUGGAGCAAAUUAUCUUUUCAUAAUUAUUCUGUGAAACAAAUCGUAUCGAUCGGAAAAUCGGGUCAUCCACAUUUCCCUCGUCGAUGCUGGAAGAAAAUAUGCGAAUGCGUGUUUAUAUAAACGCGAGGAAGGUCGAAAGGUCCGACUCGUAUCUGCGAACAACAAGAUUUCAAUACAAGAAAACUAGCGGAAACUGGGAAUAUCGCCGUUUAUUUCGGAAUUAAUAUUAAUUGCAAAAUAAUUUAUACAACGUGAAAUACGAAUAUGAAUAUAUAUUCAAUACGAUUGGAUCUUGUUUCCACGUAAAAAUCAUCUUUUAUCGAUUAUUUUUAUCCAAUCAAAGUACGGCGUAUUUCCUGCUUGCAUUCCUCGAAUCGCGAUGAUUAAAAAACGAUUGUGAUUCAAGUAGAUUUGUGAUCGUAUCUGCAAGUAUAAUUACUAUUUUUUCAAUCUGUUGGCACGAUCUAGGGAUAUUUUUAGCCUUCGAAUUCGCUCAUUCUUUUGAUUUUUCUUAAUAAAACUUAAUACCAACAUUGUCAAAAAUAUAUAUUUCUUAUUUGAUAAAAACGAUCAUUCUGAUCGUUUUAUAAUAGUUUUAACGUUGAGAUAAGAUAAUUUUUAUCUUAUACGUAAAUGAAUAGAUUCAAAUAUAAUUGAUAAAAUUCAUGAAUAUUUUUUCAUAAGUGUUUAGAGAAACGUCAAGAUAUUUUAAUUUCUUUGAAAUUGGAAGAUUGUAACAGAAAGAUGCGAUCUGAUCGCUCAUCAACGAAGAUAUACGAAUGUAUAAGAAUGAACAAUGCAAAACUGGAAGAGGAAGAGAGAGAGAGAGAGGGAGAGGUGGUUUCACCGAGUAAAAUAUUAAAUUUCCAAGUCAACAGCGAGAAACUUGCAAGUAACUACGAAUGAUGUAACAUUCUAUGCUCUAUGUUCGAUGUUUACUCGAUAAUGGAAAAGAAUACAUUUUUCUUAACUAGAAAAAUUACGCAUAAUCGUGAUACGCAGUUGUAGCAGUUGUAUGGAGAUAAGGAGGAAAAUUAAAAAGACGUGAUAAAAAACGUUCGAACGAAAAAUACAAAUAUACACGUAUAAAGUUAAAAUUUUGAAAAUUCACAAGAUUCACAACAAAUAAAGUGCUUAAAGUGUACAUAUAUACAAUUUAAUACUUAUUCAUCUACAGAUUAACAUAGAAAAACAAGAAUCAAAUUAAUUCUCUUCUUUCCUACAGAAAGAAUAAACCUAUAUCGAAUCUGAACUCGCUUUUCACGGUUAAAAAAAAAAAUUCGCACAGCAAUUUAUCGUUCCGAUCCAAUUUUGAAAAAUGGAAAAAUUCCAGUUCCGAUCAUCGGUUCGAUCGAGAGGGGGGGAGUCAAAGUUCGAAAGUUUUUCUUUUUUUUUUUUUUUUCCUUUUUUUUCCAGAGUAUUAAGCGAUUUCCCGAGUAACGCGUAGGCACCUCAGAGGCAGAUUACUCAUUCAAGGUUUAACGAGGAAGCCAUCGCCCAUAUUGCAGCCUAGCAAGUGUAAUCGAUGAUUCACUUUUUCCCCCUCCCCUUCCCCCGAUUUGUGCACAGCCUAUAUCGCGUUACGUAAAUAUACCGUAAGCAGCGAGUCGUGAUCGUUUUCGCGAAUUCUACCCUUGCGACGAUGAUGCGAUUUCGAUUCUAACCUCGAUGAGGCGAGGAGGGAAGGGGGGGCUUAUUUUCUUUUCCGCCGAAUCGAUCGAUCGAAAUAUGGCGGAAAGUGGAAAGGGAACUUUAAGUAACGAGUGUAAAUUUCGCAUUUCGGGGGAUGUUAUAAGGAUUCUGGUAAUCGUUGAAUUUCGAGAGAAUUGUGCUUACUGAUUUGACUGCAUUUUUAUCCUUUCAGAGAGACGGAUUGAAAAUAUUGAAAUUUGUUUUGUGAUGAGUAAAUAAUGGUUUUUUUCAUUGGUUUUGUAUUGAAAGAAAAUGUUGUCUAACAUUGUGGAAAAAAAUUAUAAUUAAUUACGUAGAAGAGAAAUAUCAUCUCGUUUAAAAUAUUCCUCGCAUCAUCGAUCGAUAAUAUUUUUCAUUAUUCGUUAUUGUUUUUUAAUUAUACGCGUUUAGAUUAUUUUACGUUUUUCGACGAUAGAUUCGAAAGAAAGGAAUCUCCGAACGCAAAAAUGAAAUCCUGUUCAAAGGGAUCUCGUUACUUCGUUCGAUUAUUAUUCAUUAAAUCGCGGCGAGAAGGAAAAAAAAAAAAAAACUAUUUAUUUACAAUUUAUUUACCAAAGGUGUAAUUUCCAAAGAUGGCUCGAGGACACAAUUUUCCAGAUGAAUUAAUUCCCCCUCCUCCCCCAUCCUUCCUUUCCCCCCUUUAAAUUAAAAUUGCAAAUAGCAAUAAUAAUAAUUAAAUCUCAUUACCAUGGAUGUAAGCGUCCACUUUACGCGUGUCCUGCGGCCAACAAGUUUCGUAAGAAAGGAGGAAAUGGCGGAAAUAUUUUUCUAACAGAAAAAAAAAAAAAAAAAAAAAAUCUCUUCUCUGCAAACGGAAACGAGUCGACGCGUGUGUGGAGGGGGGGAGGAGGAAGGUAUGGCCACGGUGGGAAAAUGACCGUGCCAUACUCGAGAAUUGCUUUGAUAUGAAGUAAUGCGCACCGCAAAACACGCAAGACGUUAUUACGUAAUGUUUCAAGUGUGCAAGAGGUGUGUUGGUGACCGGGUACUGGUGGUAUUAUAUUUAUUAACGAGCGAUCGUGGUUAACAGUUUCCUCUUGGAGGAGAGAGAGAGAGAGAGAGAGAGAAUGAUUAUCAAUAGUUUCCUUUUAUCUAGAUUUAUUUGUCAAGUAAUAUUCCAGUUUGAUCAUUUUCGAGUCGAACUAUUUCGAUCGUGUUAAUUCGAUUAUUUUCUUAUCAUUUUUCUUCCUUUUUUUUUUGGUAUUAAUGAUUAGAUAUUUAAGUAUAGUUUUACUUAAAGUGGAAUUUUGGAUUGAACUUUUGACGUUAACCUUCCUUUUUAACCAAAGGAAUUUUUAAAAAUAAUUUUUAAGAUUGGAAAUUACUGUGUCAUCUAUGAAAAGAUGAAUGGGAAGUUUUUCCAUUAUUCGUUGAUUUACCGUAAUUCGAUGAUAAAAAAAAUGACGAAGCAAGUAGAAAAUGUUUUGAAAAUGAUGAUGAUGGCUCAUACAUACGAACAUAUUUCCCGGUACUGUGAAAUCACUUCUAAAUUUUUCUUUCGAAAUGUUGCUAUUUUUCCCUUACAUAAGAAAGAUUCGUGUCUGGGGGAAAAAAUGGAUAGAGAAUUGUAUAUUUAUAAGAAGAAAUUUCUUAUUCUUUUAUUCGCUCUUUAAUUUUAAAAAAGAAUUUUAAAUUAAGUCGAAAGAUAAUGAUCGAAAAAAAAGAAAUUAAAAAUAUUCCACGCCAGGAUAUUUUAUUUUAUCGUGGAAUAAAAUUGGAUAAAUUCUAACGCGGAAUACGAGAGGUUAACGUGUGCGACAAGUAUGACAGGCAUAUUUAUGAUUACGUUUAGAAGCACGGGUGUGUCUGCUGCGCGAGUUUCUUGAGAAGGGAGGUCAGUAGUUUAGUACGUCUGUGCAACAAAGGCGAACCACACGCGGUAGUAAACUACUGCCCAGUUCCUGCUUUCUCUCCUCUGCACUUGGUCGUUAAUGAAACGGCCGACUUGAAAAGUGGCCGACGAGAUUGAUCUCGUUGACGAAAAAGUCACUUUGACGAGAAAAUUCGCUCCAGAAUCGGAGGAAUCGGUUCGUUUCUCAGAUUUUCAUUAUGCAAUCAGUCAACGUAUCGUAAUUAUCGGAAGAACAGAAAUAACAUUAAUUACUCGGUAAUUAUUAGUAACAACGAGAAGGUCGAGAGAACGAUUUCCCGAAGAAGAAAUCCGAUUUUGAAUUAAAAAUUACAAAAUUCUUUCCUUUUUCCGAAGAUAUAUUGUGGAUCGUGUUCUUUAUUAAUUUAAAAAAAAAAAAAUUUGUUUUUGUAACGAUAAAUAAUAAUGAUGCAAGAAAUCGAUUUAUAUUGAAAAAUCAAUUGAAUCAAUUUAUAAAAGAACGAUAUUUAGAUACGCGAUUCCAGGAAAGUGUUAAAUUAAAAAUACAAGAUUGUAAAUUUAUUUCAAGAAAAACGUAUCAUGAUUUACGACAAAUACGAUAAAACGAUUUCAUAUUAUAUUCGAACUUGGAAUUUCCUGUAUAAAUUUACACUUGUACGCUAAUCUGUAAAAGAAAUUCUGAAAUACGAUUCAAAAUUCAGAUUCCAAGUAUUACGAAAAAUAAUCUUUAUUAUUAAAAAAUUACUAAAUAAAUUUACCGUAAAUUAAUUCAUCACCAAUAAAAAGCACAUCUGAAUCAAGUGACGACAUUGCUAUAUUAGUACACGGUUAAUAUUAUCCGUAUAUCAUUACAUCAACCUCGCAGACCGUAACAAUUGAUGCAUAUACCAUUAUUAAAACUCUAAUUUAAGACUAAUCAACAUUCAAUUCAUCUCAAGUUCGUCCACCCAUUGACUCACGAUGACCGGUUCAUCGUCAGCGCCACUGGUGCAGAUCAGAGAAUCGAUUAUCGAUUCGCGUCUCGAAGGAUUACCAACCGAGCCGAUUUCAGUUAGAUGCAUAUUAACGCAUUGUACACCACGGUCAAAUCGAAUGGGUGAAAGAACUGCGACAAUCGUGUCGCAAUACUCGCCAUGUGCCUCGUAGACGAUGAUAUAACGCCGUGUCGCCUCUUAUCAUCUAUGCAUGCACGAAAACACACGCACGAUAUCGUGUUUUUGUUCUCCUCCUCGCGUAUGUAUGUGUUCUCUUGUACGAUCGGCGUGAACUAUUCGUUACGCAUGCACUCUGCAUCAUGGUCGGUCAACCUAGCUUAACCUUCUAUUACGUAUGACACGUAUACACGCUUGCGCGCGCAUGUAAGAACGAAACACGGAUAUGACAAAUACGAGUAUUGCGAGCGAUACAUAUUUUGUGGUUAUGUAGACGGCGUGCAGAUGUGCUUAGUGAUAUAACAAGGUUUCGCGUACGCUUGUAUACGCGUAUAUUUGUGAUGAAUUGUAUAUAUAUAUAUAUAUAUAUAUUAUUAUUAUUAUCUACAUGUUAUUAUCUUGCCAUUGGUAUUAUUAUUAUUAUAUGGCAAUGUAUCACCGAUAAAUUUGCAUUUUUUUUGUCUCAUGUGUCGGAUGAUUAAUAUAGCGUAUAUGUGCCUGUGUGUAUGUCAACAAGUUUAUGUAGAUUUUAUAUUAAUCAUUAUGUAUGCAAUGCUUUACAGUGAAUAUUAGCUACUAAAAAACAAUCAUUGUAAUAAAUUUUGCGUCUCGAUUUUCUCGAAGAAAAGAAAAUAACAUUCAAUUACGAUUUGAAAAUAAAAAUUUGCAAAAAUUAUAAAGAUUAUUUAUCAUUCAAUGCAAUAUGAUAUAUUCAAUUUCGUAUUUUCCGAAACUUAAUUAAGAAUAUAAAUUUAUUAAUUAAUUACUUAAGAUGUUUUAUCAUCGUAUAAUGCGCUAUUCAAACCACUAUACACAGUGUAACGCAAUUGCAAUCUCGUUUUUAAUCGUUUAGAUUAGAUCAAUUGCAUCGACUGGCAUUCGAGUUACAAUGAGGCACGCGAAAAUCAAUAUAAAUCGAUAACUGAAAAUCGAUUUAUUCGAUGCGAUAAACGACUAUGUAAUCGAUUUUGCGUAUAUUUUUUAAAUAUAUAUAUAUAUAUAUAUACAUUUUAUUAAUUUAUUAUACAAAAUAAAAAUUUAUAAUACGUUUUAUGUGUUUCGCUUAAUGGCAAAUAUGAAUUAAUUUUAAACGAUUUUCAACGCGUCGAGAAAUGCUGUUCGUAGAAAAUGCACAUUCGUGAAAAAUGAGAUGUCGCGGUGUCUGGUAGUGGGGUUACAUCGCGUUAAACCCGCGAACUCGCAAAUGAAAAUGAUGAAAAAUAUGAAUUAUGGUUGAUUAUUGACGCUUAAAAACAUAUCGGUUCAAUUAAUGAACAUAUUUGUUCUUAUGUAACGACACAUUGUUUUUUUUUGCAUUUAACGAGGUAUAAUAAUCGAAUGAAUAUGAAACGCGUUGAAAUUUCGUUUACGUCUUAUCAAUUACAUUAUCCCGCCACUGAUAAUCAACUAAUCGAUGCAUUUACAUGUCCUACUUACGGAUCUAUCGUAGACGCUUAUUUGCAGAGUUGAUGGAAACUUACAUGCAAAACUAAUCAAAUCGAGCUAUUGCAAUGUAUAUAUAUAUGUAUGUGUGUGUAUGUGUGUAUAUAUAUAUAUAUAUAUCGAACAAAAUUUUAUAAUAAAAUUGAAAAGAAAAAAAAAUUUUUUUUAAACGUCAAAUUUAUACACAAGAUUUGUUAUUGACGUUUGCAAAUAAUCGCGCUCGAUGAUUCUUUCACUCGAGAACGGUAUAAAAAUCGCUGAUUACCACGCGCAUAAAGUGUUACCAUCACAUAGCAUUUUCACACGUGAUAAUACACAUGAUCCGGAUAAAAAGGACACACUUAAACGGUCACUCACCUUUAAUCUACUAGCGUACGAUCAUUAUGACUUCUGCACUUCAUAACUGAUGUUGACACUUGAUUUUCCGAAUAAAAAAAUCGGUUGCGGAAAAACGAAGUUUAGAAUACGCGCAAGCACUAUACGCGAACAGCGAACACUAACGUAGUCUCGCAGAUUGCCGCCUGGCCGGCAGAGCGCGAGAAUUUCGGAAUGCUUUAAAAAAUUGUACUCCUUGAGAUGGCGACACCUUCUAACAGAAAUCAAAAUCUCGAUUGGAUCGCGAAUCGAUAUAUUGCGCGAAAGGAAUCAUGGGAUUAGUAUCCUUUCUCUCACUAAAGAGCGCGCUAGAAAAAUUUUAAAUUCGGGCCAAUCAUAUUACUCGAUUUCGAUUCGGUUGAUUGAUCAUUAGUUUAAAUUCGAGCUUCGUGAUGGAAUAAAGACGUAUUGAUUGCGUGCUCGAUUUCUUUUUACAAAUACGGAGAAUAUAUAAAAUUAUUGUGAAAAUUUCGAUUGAAUUGUGUUAAAAAUCAUAUUCGGAAAGUUUUAAAAAUAAAAUUUAACGUAAUUAUGUAUAGUUAUUAACGUAUAACGUAAUAUAAGUGGUUAAGUGCGACAUAAUUUUUUUUUAAGUAUAUAUAUCUUUUAAGUUAGACAAUAACGAAUGUGACAAAGUUUAAAAUAUCAAGAUAAAUAAAAAAAAAAGAAGAAACACUUUUAGAAGAAAGAAAAUCUGAUAACUACUAUCUACAUAAUUAGAGAAAUUUUACUUUGUUGGGAGAAGAUUAAUUAUAAUUAUUCCGGGGAAAAGCGGGGCGGUUCCGUUACCUCGUUUCUUAAGUUGAUCCUCCACGACCACGGCGGAGAUCAUGAAGACGUUGCCAACGCUGCCGCCGACGGCCAUCGACGCCAGCAAGAGGAGCCUCGCCACCCUGGACCACGCGGAGGACAGCGUGACCGGGGAAAUAUCGAGGUCGCUGUCCACGCUCCCCGCCUUAUCCAUCCUUAUCUCUGACUCGAGCCCCAUAAUUCCAGCCAACGUGCUGCUCGUCUAUGAUAAUUGAAAUUUUUGAAGCAUCGAUGCUCGAGGCACGAGGGUCAAAGAAAGGUUAGGAAUUAUCGGAAGGCAUGAAGUAGGUGCACGCGAGAUUAAAAGAAAGUAGAAAGAAUGGAACGUGGAAGAGGCAAACAAAAUGGUCUUACGGAGGGUAAUACUGAUUUUUUUCAUCGUAAAGGGUGCAUUUGAACGUCGAAAUGAUUUUUUGAUGGAAGGUCGUCAAAUAUUCAGAGGCAAGAAUUUUAAUAAUUUUAAUAAUCAAUAAAUAUGGUAUAAUUAAUUGGAUAAAUAAUGUUCAUAUAUAUAUCACGUAUUGGAAGAUUAAUUUAUCUGUUACUUUAUCUGUUCAAAUUUAAAACGCACAAUAAAAAUGUCGCAGACGUAAAAAAGGAGGGGAUAGAAUAAACAGGAAAAUAAAGGAAGAAAAUUCACAAAGACGUAAGGAAGGAUGGAUAAGAUAAAUACGAAAAAUUAGCGAUAGAGGGCGCAUAACCUCUGCUCUUUUACCAUUCUCCAUUUCCUUUUCAUACGCGCACGGUUGAACGAACGACAGAAAGGACAUUGUUCUUUCCUUCCUUUCAUUCUUUAUUUCUCUUCUAACCUCGCUUCACAGAAAUGUUUCCGUAAAACUCUCUCUCUCUUUCUCUUUCUCUCUCCCUCCUCCCCCUCUCUUUCUCUCGUUCGCUCGCAAUGGGAGAAAAAUGGAUAGAAACGUUUGCUGAAAAUUUCAACGUCCAUAAACAUCGAUGGAAACAAAGGGUUACGUUUACACAUGGUCCAUUCACUGGCCUCGGAAUUGGCCAGGUCCCAGCGCAAACAGAUUUAACUUUGCACGGUUUAAACCCAGGAGCUACCCCUCUUUUUCGAACGCAUCCCAUGGAUGCAAUUAGCGAGGAGCAUCCGUUCGGAUGCAAAUUCAUCGAAUGAAAUUUCGCGGAGACGGAGCCAUCUGCGCGCCAUCUAUAUCGAUCGUUCUUACGGCGGAUCGAUUCUCGCUUUUCUGAUAUAACCUCGCGUAAGCGGUUGAGAAGUGUUUUCGAUUGGAAAAUUCGUUUUAUUCGUUCGAGUUUUAUUCACGGUUGAGAAAAAUGGAAAAGGGGAAAUUAGAAAAAAGAACAAGGAUGAUUCGUAAUUCGAUAUUGGUAUCCCGUUUAAAGUUGCAAAUAAUAACUAUCGAGGAAGCGAGGAUACGUGAAAUAAUGUUUUUGUGAGAAUCGUAUUGGUAAAUUUAAUUUGGUAGGUUGGUACUUGGGAAUAUUAUUAUCAAACGUUGGCAUUAAUGCCAACUUCAUUUAUGUGAAAUCACUCUUAAAGAUUAAUAAAUCAUUUGUUUAUUUUUUAAAUGUGAUUUUGUAUCAAAAACCAAUUGUGUCUAACUUGAUAAUAUCAAAUAGCUCUAAUUGCAAGGUAUUGAUCUGUUAAGAAAGAUGAUACACUGUUUCAAUAUAUAAUCCUUGGCAACGAUCGGUUUACAAUCGCUCGUGUCGUAAAUUUUUAGGAUCGUAUCCUCUGUGAUACAGUCGUACGCUUUUAACGUACGUCGUGAUGCGUCGUUUCAUUGUUACGAUAUCGUGUUCCUGCAUCUUGCUAGGUUAAAAAUGCGAUCUGUCAUUACGUUUAUGCAAAAUCGAAUUUUUAUGGAAGAAAUGAAGCUUAAACAGGGAUUUGCUUUAUUCCUCGAAUAUUAUUUGAAUAUUUUAUUGUAUCUCUUCGAAUAUUCUCGUAUUCCGAUUUUCGUUCGUACGUUCGAAUGACGUAUUUUCGAUUAUUUUGUCGAAUAAUAUUUUACUCAACUCGAUUUUUAUUUCGAAUAAUUAUUAUACAGGAUAGAUUUAAUUUAAACGUAUCCGUGCGUUUAUUUAACGAAUUAUUCUUCUUCGUGAAAGAAAAUGAAGAUAAUUUUAAUUGUUGUAAUGACGUACCAUUAGAUGCAACGUAAUUAUUCAUAAUUAAAAAUAAGGUGAAAAAAUGUUUCCAUUAAAUUAAUAAAAUAUUUAAUUUUGUAAAGUAAGAAGGAGGGAGAGAUAAUUAUUAAAAUAUAAUAUUAACGAAAAAUAAUACGGAUGAAAAUUAAUAAAAUACAAAAUUAAAUCAGAAUAUUAUCAAGUGUUAGAGUAAAUAAAAGUAUCGCUGUUGCUUAUACAACAUAUAACGCAGUAAAAAUUGUACGUACGUGAAACAAAAAAGAAGCUCGUUUUAUUCCCAGACUGCUUGUCUGAAAUAUUUCACACUUGUUGCGCUCUUCUUAAAUAGCCAAACUUCUCCCCGAUUGCUCCAAAGUUAAAAUAGAAUGGAACGUUAUAUUUUUGUAUACUUUCAACAAACAGAUGUACUUAAUUCAACCGGCCAAUGAAGCAAUAAUUUUCUUCUGGAAUCUUCUUCAGCUUUAUUUCGAACAUAAGUCGAUACGCAAGUUGAAUUAUUAAUUCACGAAUUAUUGUUAUUGUAACGCGAUAAUGUUUCAAGUCACACAAUUUUUUUUAAAUUGUCAAUUUAAACAUUGUUUUUUUUUGCAAUUUUCUUUUUCUUUUUUUAUUUACAUAAGUUAAAGAUUGAAUAAUAAUUAUUAAUAUUUAUUUAUAACAUCGAGUACAAUUUUUUUUAUAGAAAUUUAUUUAGUUACUUUUUCUCUUUUUUUUAUAUAUAUUCUAAAAAUUAAACUGGAAAUAAAAUAUUUUUCAGCGGAUAUUCGAUCCUAUAGUUGCAUCAUCUAUAAUUUUCAGUUUAAAUUCAAUCUCCUUUUUCCUCCUUUUUUAUUAUAAAAAAAAAAUGUAUCAAAUGUAUCAUUCGUAAAGUCGAAUUCUAUAAAAUUAAUUAUACAUUCCAUCAUUUAUUAUUCACACUUACAAUUCUUCCUGUAUAAUUUCACUCGAUUCUCGGAAAAAAAACCAGAUAAUUUCUCUCUCUCUCUCUCGCCUAAUGAAACACGAUUCACACGAAUCAAUUUCACCUCGAAAAUUAUUUCCCAAUACAUGGUGGCAAUAUCCAAACAUCAUAUCCCUUUCGUAUUCCGACGGACAAUUUCAAUCCGUCCUAUCGUCCACCAUUUUAUAGAAUCAAUUCAUAGAAAUUCGAAAGGCUGGCGGCGUAGUUUUAUCUCCAAAUAUCGGUAAAAAUGCACAAUGGAGGGGGGAGGAACCUCGACGACCGGAGUCGAAAUCGAACGCUGGAUUGGAGGAAGAUGCGUGCACCGUUCUCGUCAAGGUGUCGAAAAAAGGGAGGGGAUAGGAGGAGGGAGAAGGAGGGGGAAAAAUGAAAAAUUCACGGGCUUUGUUCCGCCGAGCAUGACUCGAAUGGUGUUGGGAUCGGUUUACGUUUCACAGGAAAGGUGGGAAACCCGCGCUACAGCUUUUUAUUACGCGGAUAUUGGGUUUCAUGGGAUCGAUGAUGAUGAGCCCCGAGAUCCAUGAAGCGGAAAGUGCAUGUAAUUGAUCGUAUUCCUUGUGUGUUUAGGUAUCGUUUUCGAUAUAUUAACGUGCUCGACUGUUUGGAAUUGUGAGCGUAAAAAGGUAGGCAAGAGAUUAAUGAAUUCACCGCUCGACCGAUUCUUUUAUCCAACGAAACGAAUUAUACGUCGAUGGUAUAAAAUAUUUGAAAAGAAAAUGGUGAAAAAUUUCAUUCUCUCGAAUUUAAUUAAAAAACACGUGCGAUAAUAUUAGAAUAUAUAUUUAUUUACUGGAAUCAAAAAUAAGUACAAAAUAUUAGCAAUAUUUCGAGGCAAGCAUUGAUUAACGGGAUGAUUAAUGGAAAUAAGAGAAGACAUAUAAAUUUAGAACGAUAUCCAUUUGUCGAUAUCUUGAAUAAUGAUUAAUUUUACGUAAUAAACGUCCGUUUCUCGAGACUGAUUAAAGGAAAGCCGAUUAUGGGGACAAGUGUUGUCUGCCUAUUAAUUCGGAUAAUCGACGGUCCCACCGUAGUUAAUAACCAUUGUUCAUGGUAAUUGGAACCGCAGAUCUCCGUCCAAUCACAAAGGGUUUCAAAGCACAAAUGUCCACAUUAGCCCCUGUCAAAGAUUCGAUGCAUUAAAACGGACAAUCCAUCCGCAUAAUUUACAAAUAUUCUCCAAAUAUAAGAAUAAUGAAAUACAACAAUUAUAUUUAUACAAUAAUAUAUACAACAUAAGAGUAAUUAUAAGAAGCGGACGGAAGUACGGAGAAGGUUUCUGGAGAAGGAGAAGGUGGCAAUCAGUGUCCUUCACUAGCCACCUUGUUUAAUAGUGCAUAUCCAUUUAUAUCGGACGUGGGGAUCGCCAAGGGGAGACGUCUGCAUAGCGAUUCACGAAGAUGUCAGAUGAGUUAGGUGUGGUGAGACUGACGUGCUCUAACAAGUCUCUCGAGUUACGCUUCGUUGUUCCCGUUGCUUCUUUCCUGGUUUAAUUAAAAAUGUCUGCACACCACGUUGAUGGAAGUGGAGGGAAAUUCGUUGUUUUUAUCGAGGAAUUUUUCAACUGGUAAACUUGAGAAAAAGAAAUUACAAGGGAACUUCAGGGAACUCACGAGGUGAUCGUGUUAUACAAUAGACACAGGGUUCUGUAAGGCAGAAGUUCUGAAAUUUGACAAUGAAAUGGCGACCAAGAACAUUUUCUUUUAUAAAUCCAAGUUUCUUCUAUUGUUACAGGAGCAAUGAUUUAUUUCAGGGACCUGAAAUAAAGUUCGAAGAAAACAGAUGUUGUUGAUAAAAAGAAGUUACCUAUUGCAAAACUGAAUGAAAAUUACAAACACAAAGGGAGAGCUGUAUAUUUUUUAUUUGAAAUAUUUAAAUAUGAAUGCUGAAAAAGAAGAAAAAUGUGCAAAAAAUAAGCAUCGUUUUUAAGAGUAUCUAUUUUGCAUUUAACUGCAUCUUAAUAAAUACUCCAUCAUGUUUGAAAUUACAUGGCAAUGCCGAUGCUUCAAAAUGAUCCAAGAUUCACUUUGUGCGGGUGAUAUAUGUAUUUACUCGCAUUCCACGUGUCAGUUCAAUUAAGUCUCAUAUACAUCAAGAUCCUCGAUGCAUAACGAGAGUUCUAGGAAAAAAGAAAUGAAGCAGUCGAGAAGAACACUUUUAUAUUCAAGAAAGAUUUUCGUUUGAAAUAUAUAAAUUUAUAGAAUAAUGUAAAUUAAUUUGAAGAAAUAUCUGCAUCAUAUUAGAGUCGUAUUGCGAAAAUCACACUUGUUUUGUCAUAAAUAUAUUUUAUAAUACUUCAAAAAUCGAAAUUAUAAAAUUAAAUUUUAAUUUAACUUGCUUUUAUCUUGUACUGAUUUACAGAACUUGAUUAUAGUUAAUGAAUAUAAGUUAUAUGACAUAUUCUAUAUCCAUAAAUGAACGUUUCAAGUAACAACAUCCUGAUAUUACAAUUAAUAAAAAGAAUCCAUUAAAAAUAUAAUAAAUUGUCGGAUCUCUUAAAGAUUUAAAGGUUUAGAUCAAAUUGUAUGAAACAUCCUGUGUUCACGGUAUUUAACUUUCAGUAACAAAAUCAGGCAAUUACAAUCGAUAAAAGAAUUCAUUAAAAAAAUUCAAUGAGUUGUCACAGUUCUUAAAAGCCGUUCAUUACCUGGCCAUAACGUGAAAUAUUUCGAGGACAUCCAGUUCAUUAAAAACGAGUUCUCGACUCGUGAUAUUAAUUCUUCCCGAUGGUAAGAUCGAAGUGCAAACGUGUAAGAGGAUUGAACAAAUAGUUGGCUCUCGAUGAGUUUCAUUGCAUGAAAGAAUAAUCAAAUUUUAAAAAUUGUUCGUGAAGCUGUGAUAUUGUUUGGAACGUUGAAUCUUUGAAUAAAAAGUUAAUUCGCUUCGAUAACUUCAUGCGAGCGAAAGAUUCCAGUUUUAAUGGAUAUGAAUAUUUUGACACCAUGAAAGUUUCUCCCGUUCGAGGAGAAUAUAAAUUUGAUCGUGUAAACGAAUUCGUGAAGCACUGUGAAAACAUUGGUCGUGUUUUCUAUGGAUGUUCUUGCAGGAAUAGAUUGAAAAAGCGUUUAAAUUUUUGUGAUACAAGAAAUUUUAUUUUUAAUGUAAUAAAAUGUUGAAUAUAUAGUAAAUUCUAAUAGGAAGAUAGAAAAUUUUAAUAAGAAAAAUUAAAAUAAAUAAUAUUAGUAGAAAAGAUGAGAACAUUUUAAACAUUUAUAUUUUUAUUUAUAAUUGAAUCAGAAUUAUCAUACAAAAGUAUGAACUUUAUAAUUAGUUACGGAAGACCAAAUUAUACUUUCGUUGUGCAAUCUUUUAAUCUUUUUAAUGGAAAAACUUUUUUAGAAAGUAAAAAAUUAAGAUUAGAAGAUAAAUGUAAUUAUGUUAAAAUUAAUCGUAUUAUGACAACGAUCAAUUGAAGAUAAUCUGAUGAAAUUAGCUCCAUUUUUUAAAUGAGAAUAAUAUAUUACACGUUCAAUUUUUUAUAGACAUGCAUUUAAUCAACUAAUAUAAUUAUCAUUAACCAAAGAUGAUCUAAAUUAAGUUUAUGGUUCAAAGUUCAAAUUAAAGAUUGCGAAAAAAAAUCUUGAAUCCAUAUUUUGUACUAUCUUUAGAAGCAAUUUUUUUUAAAUUCUUUGACAUUAUUUAUGAUUAAAAUAACUCUGACAUAAUUAACAUUUAUCUGCUUAUAACUUAUCAUUUACCAUUUUCCGUAUUUUAUUUUCUUUCGAAUAUAUAUUAAGUUAACAAUUUUUAAAGAAUUUUUUAAUUUUACUGAAUGUAUAAAAUAAUUCAGAAAAAAUUUAUUAUCUUUAUUAUUGAAUACUAUUGUUUAGAUAUAUCAUUAGUUUCAUAUAAUUAUAUAAAAUAUAAUUUAUAUUAUUUAAGAAAAUAAAGUAAAAAGUAAAUAUCCAAUAUUAAAAUUCUAUCACAUAAUUAAACAUGAUUCAAAUUUUGUUUAAAAUCUAAUUUCAUAGAAUAGUAUAAUUGUACAAAAAUAGCAAAUUGUUAUAAAAAUAAUUGUGUAAGAAAGUUAAAUUUAAUGUGAUAUAGUUUAAAAAAAGAAACACAAUAACGUUAAACUUGGUAUUGUUAAUUGAAGUAAGAAAGAAAACGACAAUUCACUUGGAGCAACUUAAUACAAUGUGUUCAUUAAUGAGGAUCCAUACAUCACGCAUUAUGCAAGAUAUAUGAGUGUUGGCCACAGGCAUCGUUAAUUAACAGUUGAAUCAAAAUGAUCAUUCGAUGUGUAAUAGCAUCACAAUUAUUCACGUCGAUCGACACACUGCUGAUCACGUUAUACCCAUUGUCACUGCAUUUGACAGACGCGUCAAUCAAUUUAUAACACAGGCACGGAAGCUAUACGUCCCCUGCAUCCUGAAACAUGGCGAUCAGCGGAAGCCCUCGAAAGUGAAAAAUCCCUUGAAAAAUAGAACGGCUGCCAGGAUGAUCCGUUGUAUAUUGGAGAUAGUUUGGCGAAAAUUGAAAUUUUUCAUCGCGCCGCUUGAACCAUUGUGCAGGGCAGCAAAGCAGAGUAAAUUUUAAGGAAGAAAAUAGAAAGGAUAAAAGAUAUGAAAGGAUCAUAAAAAUAAGAAAUAGACAUGAAGAGAAGAUAGACGAAGAUUAAGAAUAAGAAAAAGAAUGGAGAGAGAAAAAAAGAAAAAAAAGAGAAGAAACAGAAAAUUGGAGAAAUUCAAAGAAAAAUAAAGCAAUAAUAGAUUUUAUAAUAGAAAUGUUAUAUUUUUUUGUUAAAUUCUUGUUAUAUAUGUUAUACUUUUAUUAUAUAUUUUAUUAUAUUCUAAAACUUUAUAUUUUAAAUUUUUGGAUUGACAGUAUUGAUUUAAGGAAUAAUUAAAGUGUUAUUUAUAGUAUUAUUUUAUAAUUGUAAUUUUAUUGUCGUAUAAUAUUAAUUUUAUGGAAAUUGGACUAUUGGAAAAUAUUUUCUAUCGUAAUAGAUUUCAAAUAUUUUUGCAUAUUGUAUAUUUGUAUUUCUAUAUGGUAUAGAACAAUAUAGUUUAUAUAUUUUUUUGAUA